UUUGGCAUAGUCUCAUGUAGUUCCUAAGCUUACACAGCUUAAGAGUUAAACGAUAAGGGCUAGUCUUGCAAACCUAAGAAGCAUUUCCUUGUUCUGUACUCUGAACAUUUAUUUUGAUAAUGGAAGAAGAGGAGAUUGGGUGGGUGUGAAAGGGCAAAUAUAUGCAAAAAAAAAAAAAAAAAAAAAAAAGCCCUUCACAUGUACCUGGAGUCACAUUUGGGUAGACUUCCUGGUGAGCCCCCGUCUGUAAACAUCACAAACGUGAGUUUAAUGGGAUAGAAUGUCCACUGCAUUGGCUCCUGUUGAGAUUUUAGAAGAAGAAUUGGCUCGAAACUCAGGUUUCCUUUCCAAACGAGGCGACUCACUUUCUUUCCCAAGCCAGGGUCCUGUCAUCUGAGACCAAAAAAAUUACCUUCUCCUUCCCUUUUGUAGUCCCUCAAAGUGGAAGGAGAGUUUUGUAAUCUUCAAAUUAAGUACAACUUAAGUACCUUUGCCAAGUUCACUUUUAAUACCGCUAUUGUGCACACCGAUUGCUAUCAUCCCGCUCUUUCCUGCUAAACAAUGGACUAGUUUCCUCCUCAGUUGUUCGGAGCUGAUUAAUAACAUGUGGGGCUCCACCUAAUUCAUCUUGUCUGGGAGGCCUUCCCUCCCACAUCCCAGCUUGAAUGGAGGAGUCUUUCCCUAGGUAGCAGGUUGCCAUCAUUGCAUCAUGAGCUCAGAGAACUCCUUUAGCACCUGAGAGGUCCUGUUUAGCAGCUCUGGGAAGGUGAUAGCUUAUAAAGGAGAAGUAACGGCACAGCCGACUACUACCUGGAUACUUUCUUCCAUCCUACCUCUGGACCUGAUCAUCUGUCUUCACUCAGGGCCUUCAUACCACCUCUGUGAAACCCUCCCCAGCUCUUUCUGCUGGUGUGAGAAAUGCCAUUAUUUUGGUUCUCAUUGUGCUACGCAGGUACCUCUGCUCAGGUAGUACUAACCCUGCUGGGUUGGAAUGAUGUGACAGCAUGUCUUCAUCUUUUUUCCAGACUGAACUUAUUUCCCUGGAUAUCUUAAGCACUAUGCCCAUAGAAAUAGGGGCCUCAGAGAUUAACCAUGCUUCUCUUGUCCUUUCAAAGAUUUCUCACAAGAUAAUUCUAUAGAGUAUAAAUCAGGGAUGGUACUAUGUUUAUAUUUUUGGUUCUCUGCUCUAAGAUAGAUAUAUCAGGUUACCUGUCUCCAGAGUCUUGAGAGAGUUGUAUGUUUUCAAACUGAUUUUCGUGAUGUAAAUUGCGACAAAGCAACCAAUAUGUGUAAAGAUGUAUUAUGGAAUUUAAAAUCACCUCUAAAGUAAUUUGUUUGUUUCUCUGAGAGUAACUGCAUCUGAACCAGGGGUGGAGAACAUCUGGCCUGUGGCCUUAUAAGGGCAGCAAAAUUAUUUGGUCUGGCCCUGCCAAGGCAUUAGGGUGAGUUCAUUAAAUGUUUGCCCAGAUGUAGCAGGCCAAUUUUUAAGUUGAUAAUUUUAAAUGGCCCUCAAAUGAUGUUAUAAAUAUCCAAAUGGUCUUGGCAGAAGAAAAAGUUCUUUACUGCUAACCUAAAUGUUGGUUUUGAUUAUGGAAGAAGAGAAAAUUUUGUGGGUAUGAAACUGAAAAUAUAUGUGUUAAAAGGGCCAGCUAACAUGGCUCAGUGGUUGAGCAUUGAGCUAUGAAUCAGAAGAUUAUGGUUCAAUUCCUGGUCAGGGCACAUACCCGGGUUGUUGGCUCGAUCCCCAGUAUGGGGCAUGCAGGAGGCAGCCAAUCAAUGAUUCUUUCUCAUCAUUGAUGUUUCCAUCUCUGUCUCCCUCUCCAUACUUCUCUGCAAUCAAUAAAAAUAUAUUUAAAAAAGAGAGAGAGCGAGCGAGUGCACAUGGUAAUGUACUACUUAGCAUUCUCUGUUGUAAUUGCCCGUUUGUCAUCUCCCCGGUCUUUAAACUCCAUGAUGGCAGAGGUCAACUCUGUAUUACUGACCAUUUUAUUCCCUCUGUAUAGUACAAUAUAUGGAAAUAAUAGAGCUUCAAUAAAUAUAUAUUUGUAAAAUCAA